UUCACCGACAAAUGGGCAAUGUGUUGUGUUUGCAUGAGGAGCCCCUGGUUGAGAGCAAGUUCCCUGCCGGUUCUGCCCUCAGGUUCUUGGUGGCCAGAGACACUCCCCAGGGCGGGCAGCCAGUCUGGUGCUGGCCAGGGCUGUGCUGCUUAGCAAGGCCACAGAAGGGACGGAGCUGCCCUGCCUGCCAAGCCUGGGAAGCCUGCUCAGGUUGUUUACUGCUGGCCUUUCAGGAAGUGCUUUGGGAACAACCUCACACCUCUCAGGUCAUCUGACUCUCAGUCCCACUGGGAGGGCAGCUUAACCUGUUUGUCUGCUUGUUGCUUGUUGGGCUGUGCAAGCAGUGAGGCUGGAUUGUUGCCUCAGGAGUAAGUUACAUAAGAGACUCUACAUUACAUUACAUUACAGCUCUACAAUGCACCAGACGGACCCAUCUGGAUUCUUUCGGGGCUCUUAGCCCUAGAAAUAGCAUCAUUUCUUCAAACUGGAUGCUGGGCAAGGCUGGCAGGCCCGGGAGAGCCUGUGGCCAGCCUGGGUCCAGGAAGUGGGCAGCUGCCACAGAGGGGCCUCCGAGGCUAGCUGCCUCCUAACUUCCUCACGGCACACCAUUCUGCCGUCCUGAGUCUUCUCAAGGUUGGAAGGUGCCCAGAUCCAGGGAGAUGGUGCUGGCUCUUUGGUGGCUGUGGAGUGUCCAGACAGAUGAGCUGGAAUCCUUCAGUUUCUCUGCCUCUCCUGUCAAGUUGGGGUAGCACUGCUUGGACUCUUGCCCCGGCUGCAUUGACCAAGCCUUGAUGUUGCCUUGACCAAGCCUUGAUGUUGCCUUCUUUGCCAAACCACUGGCCACGAUGUUGCUGGCACAGCAGCCCAAAGGCAGCUGCUUGUCCAUCUCAGCCUGACCCAGCCUUCAUGCGGGCUCCAUCUCAGCCAUUGUAAAGCAAGCUCCUAGUUCUAGUUCUCCCCCACAAAUUUUAUUGCUAAAUAAACAAUUAAGCUACCCCUUUAAAUAGUAAAAAUAUGUAUAUACAAACAAGAUCUAAACCCAUCACAAGAAUGUAUCAACCAAGCCAGGCACAGCGGCAUGCACCUGUGGUCCCAGCUAUUCAGGAGGCUGAGGCUGAAGGAUCAGUUAUGCCCAGGUUGGAAUCCAGCCUGGGCAACAUAGUUGUAUUAGUCCAUUGUUAUGCUGCUGAUAAAGACACACCUGAGACUGGGAAGAAAAAGAGACUUAAUUGGAUUCACAGUUCCACGUGGCUGGGAAGGCCUCAGAAUCAUGGUGGAGGACAAAAGGCACACCAUACAUGGCGGCAGCAAGAAAGAAUGAGGAAGAAAUAAAAGCAGAAGCCCCUGAUAAACCCAUCAGAUCUCAUGAGACUUACUCACCAUCACAAGAAUAGCAUGGAAACGAUCGACCCCCAUGAUUCAGUUACCUCCCCCUGAGUUGCUCCCACAACAUGUGGGAAUUCUGAGAGAUACAAUUGAAGUUGAGAUUUGAAUGGGGACACAGCCAAAUCUUAUCAUUCUUUCCCUGGCCCCUCCAAAUCUUAUGUCCUCACAUUUCAAAACCAAUCAUGCCUUCUCAACACUCCCCCAAAGUCUUAACUCAUUUCAGCAUUAACCCAAAAGUCCACAGUCCAAAGUCUCAUCUGAGACAAGGCAUGGUGGAAGUUUCUUCCACCUAUGGGCCUGUAAAAUCAAAAGCAAGCUAGUUCCUUCCUAGAUACAAUAGGGGUACAGGUAUUGGGUAAAUACAGCUGUUCCAAAUGGGAGAAAUUGGCCAAAACAAAGGGGUUACAGGGCCCAUGCAAGUCCAAAAUCCAGCGGGAAUGUCAAAUUUUAAAGCUCCAAAAUGAUGUCCUUUGACUCCAGGUCUCACAUCCAGGUCAUGCUGAUGCAAGAGGUAGGUUCCCAUGGUCUUGGGCAGCUCUGCCCCUGUGGCUUUUCAGGGUACAGCCUCCAUCCCAGCUGCUUUCAUGGGUUGGCGUUGAGUGUCUGUGGCUUUUCCAGGCACACAGUGCAAGCUGUUUGUGGAUCUACCAUUCUGGGGUCUGGUGGACAAUGGCCCUCUUCUCAUAGCUCCACUAGCCAGUGCCCCAGUAAGGACUCUGUGUGAGGGCUCCAACCCCACAUUUCCCUUCUGCACUGCCCUGGCAGAGGUUCUCCAUGAGGGCCCCACCCCUGCAGCAAACUUUUGCCUGGGCAUCCAGGUGUUUCCACACAUCUUCUGUAAUCUAGGUGGAGGUUCCCAAACCUCAGUUCUUGACUUCUGUGCACCCUCAUGCUCAACACCACGUGGAAGCUACCAAGGCUUGGGGCUUCCACCCUCUGAAGCCACAGCCUGAGCUGUAUGUCGGCCCCUUUCAGUCAUGGCUGGAGCAUCUGGAACACAGGGCACCAAGUCCCUAGGCUGCACACAGCACAGGGACCCUGGGCCUGGCCCACAAAACCACUUUUGCCUCCUGGGCCUCUGGACCUGUGAUGGGAGGGGCUGCCAUGAAGGUCUGUGACAUGGCCUGGAGACAUUUUCCCCAUGGUCUUGGGGAUUAACAUUAGGCUCCUUGCUACUUAUGAAAUUUCUGCAGCCGGCUUGAAUUUCUCCCCAGAAGAUGGGUUUUUCUUUUCUACUGCAUCGUCAGGCUGCAGAUGUUCUGAACUUUGAUGCUCUGCUUCCCUUUUAAAAGGGAAUGCUUUUAACAGCACCCAGGUCACAGCUUGAAUGAUUUGCUGCUUAGAAAUUUCUUCCACCCAAUACCCUAAAUCAUCUCUCUCAAGUUCAAAGUUCCACAAAUCUCUAGGGCAGAAGCAAAAUGCUCCCUGUCUCUUUGCUAAAACAUAACAAAGUCACCUUUACUCCAGUUCCCAACAAGCUCCUCAUCUCCUUCUGAGACCACCUCAGCCUGGACCUUAUUGUCCAUAUUGCUAUCAGGCUUUUGGUCAAAGCCAUUCAACGAGUCUCUAGGAAGUUCCAAACUUUCCCACAUUUUCCUGUCUUCCUCAGAGCGCUCCAAACUGUUCCAAAAUCUGCCUGUUACCCAGUUCCAAAAUUGCUUCCACAUUUUGGUGUAUCUUUUCAGCAGCACCCCACUCUACUGGUACCAAUUUACUGCAUUAGUCUGUAUUCACACUGCUGAGAAAGACAUACCUGAAACUGGGAAGAAAAAGAGGUUUAAUUGGACUUACAGUUCCACAUGACUGGGGAGGCCUCUGAAUCAUGGAGGGAGGCAAAAGGCACUUCUUACAUGGUGGCAGCAAGAGAGAAUGAGGAAGAAGCAAAAGCAGAUAAAACUAUUAGAUCUCGUGAGACUUAUUCACUAUCAUGAGAAUAGCAUGGAAAAGACCGGCCCCCGUGAUUCAAUGACCUCCCCCUGGGUCCCUCCCACAACACAUGGGAAUUCUGGGAGAUACAAUUGAAGUUGAGAUUUGAAUGGGGACACAGCCAAACCAUAUCAGUAGUGUCCCCUGUCUCUCAAAAAAGGAAAGAAUUAAUCAACCAAAGGAGAAAUCUGAGUGGCUGUGGCUAGUGCUCUGGGCUGGGCAUGGACAGUAGUCCCAGGGAAGCCUCCCUGUCACGAAUUAUGGUGGCCAAUUAACCAUGUCAGCCGUAGUUUCAUCAUAACCAGAGUUUCAAAGAGAGAAUGAAUCAUAAAACUUUAAAGCUUAGAAAAGAUCUCAGAAAUUAAGACCCGUAUCUUAGAGUGGAGCUUCUCAAAUGUCAUCGUGCAUGCGAUCCCCUGGGCAUCUCGUUAGGGAGAGUUCUGAGUCGGAGGACAGGGGCAGGGCAGGGGGCAGGGAUCAGCAUCUCUAACCAGCUCCUGGGGAGGCCGCUGUGGGGCCAUGCUGGGAUGGCAAGGCCUCAGAGGACCCAGGGCUUCCAGUGUAGACUCAGCUUCACCCCGCAGAAUAAGAGGAAACAUGUUAGAACUCAUUUUUCUGUAUUUUCAGGUAUAGAGACCCUUGGGGAGGGUCCAACCCUGCUGCGUUUAGCGUAGCUUGUCAUGGAGAGGUUCCAGUGUGUUUACACCUUUGAACCAUCACAACGCCCAGCAUGAACUCUUCAAACUUUUGUAUUCAUGGCUCCAAAUGUUGAAAUUUUAAAAAUGACUUUAAGGCUUUUUAUUUAUUUUUAAUUUUUUUCUACAACUUUAAAGCAAAACUCAAGUAUGAGCUCAGAAGUAUUUUUCUCUUUGAAAAUGUUUAAAAAAAAAUGCUGCAGGUAAAUGAAGCUGUUUCUUUGGGACCAGCCCAUGGAGUGCUGGAGUAGCUGUGAGGUGUGCGCCAGGCCAGGGGACUCACCCCGUUUGUGCUUCCAUGUUCUUGUAAAAUGUGGAUUGUAGUGGAGCCUACCCCAGAGGGCUGCUGAGAAAAUUAAAUUAGUUACUGCAUGUAACACUUAGAAAAUACAAACAUGAAGCGCGUUUAAUACCGAAUGCCCUCAUUGAACGUUCAUUGAUAAUGUUAUUGCUGUUGCUGCUUCUCACUCCACCUCUCUCACUGGGGCCUGGGAGCGGGGAUGCCUGCAGGUGUGUUGGAAUCCGUCAGUGCAAUGCCAGGGGCACGCAGGCAGAAGCGGGUGGGACUCGUCCUGGUAGUGGGGGCGAGUUCAAGGUAACGCAGCAGACAAGGAGAAAUGGAUUUUCAUUGACCGGUAAGUUUUAAAUGGAAAACAAUCAUUCAAAAGAGGCAAUUUGAGGACACAGUGAGCCUUCG
rnacentral:lncRNA from 10 species